AAGCAUUCAUGGGGCAUUCAAAAAUGCCUUGGAUUUGGCAUCCUGAGUGAAUUUGUCAGAGCCCAUGAAUGCUGUGCUCUGGUACUUAUCCAGCUUAUUUCGGCAAUGGAACAAAGCUCACUGUUCUAGUAUCUAAGGAUGUCAAAAAACCAGAAGUAAAAAUUCUAAAUGUGACGGGCUGUACGGAAAAGGUCACUCUUGUGUGUGUGGCCGAAAACUUCUACCCAGACCAUGUGAGCAUACAAUGGUCAAUUGGAAGCAAGAUUAUAACAGAGGAUGUAGCGACAGACCCUUAUGCCACCAAAUACAAUGCGACAAUAUUCCGCAUAUCCAGCAGACUUAAAGUCCUUAAAAAAGAAUUCACAACAAAAAACACAUACAAUUGUACAGUGACCUUCUACGAUGGAACAGUUAAUCAUUACGAAAGUGCUAAUAUUACUGGAACUGGAGGGGGUGCAUAUGAACCAGAAGAUUAUUUAAAAUCAUCGAAGACGAUUAAGCUGGCAUACGGUGUGUUCAUUGCUAAGAGUGCACUGUAUGGCCUUGUCAUCUUUGUGUUCGUCUGGCGAAAGGGUUCCUCUGGAAAAUGAAUGAACUAAACAGAAAAAUCAUUUACUCCAACCUGAAGAGAUGCUGUUUUCAUACAACUGAUUUUAUUUUAUUUUAUUGCUUAUUUCUCUCCUUCUGAAGUGUUUAUCUCAAUGAAAGCCUGCAGAUACUUCAGAUCAGAUUAAUCAUAAAAUCUACUUUUUGAUUAUAUAUUAUUCUUUUGCUUGUGUCCUUGCUACUGUAUUUAGUGUUAAUUUGAUUUGAUUCUAAAAGAGACUUCACAGAGGUCAAUAUAAUUCAUUAUUCUUCACUAUAAAAGCUACUGUAUUUUGUGUUUAAAUAAAUUUGUUUCACACUUUAAUAAAAUAAAAUCUUACACAUUAUCUGGAAAGAAAAUUCUCUUUUUUUAUAUAGUGACAUUUUUCACCAGUUAGCUAUUUUGAUAGCUUUUAUUUUUGCUGUACAUCAAUCGGUAGAGCGUAUAGCAUUAGUUGUCAGAUUUGAUUCCCAGGGAAUGCAAAUAAACUGAAUACCUUGAACUGCUUUGAAUAAAAGCAUCUGCAAAAUGCAUAAAUGUAAUAGUCAACAAUAACUUUUUUAGGGCUGACAAUGAUCUCCCAACUGCUUUCAAUCAUGUAACAACAUGGUAACUGAUGUAUCUAGUUGAUUAUAUCCUGUAGCUUAUGUGGUCCUUAUAUUCUCAGAGAGGUGAAUACACAGCUGUUUCUAAUCACUAAAACAUUGCUAAUAAUUCUUUAAUUGUACUGUUCUAUCAGCUGAAUAAAAAUGAAGCAAUAGAAAUCUCAUUGCACACAUAGAUUAUCAUUUAUUGACAUUUUAGACUCCCACCGCUUAAAUAAUUGGAUAAACCAAUCAACCAUUUUUCUUAUAAAUAACUGAAUUCUGCAGAACUGUACCUGAACACCUAUUUCUAAAAAAAAAAAAAAAAAAAAAUAAUAAUAA